rnacentral:rRNA from 1 species
AGAUACCCCGGUAGUCCUGGCCGUAAACGAUGAACACUAGGUGUCGGGGGAAUCGACCCCUCCGGUGUCGUAGCCAACGCGUUAAGUGUUCCGCCUGGGGAGUACGCACGCAAGUGUGAAACUCAAAGGAAUUGACGGGGGCCCGCACAAGCGGUGGAGUAUGUGGUUUAAUUCGAUGCAACGCGAAGAACCUUACCAGGGUUUGACAUCCUGCGAAUCUCUUGGAAACUUGAGAGUGCCUUCGGGAACGCAGUGACAGGUGGUGCAUGGCCGCCGUCAG